UACGUAGGGUGCGAGCGUUAAUCGGAAUUACUGGGCGUAAAGUGUGCGCAGGCGGCCGCGCAAGUCGAGUGUGAAAGCCCCGAGCUUAACUUGGGAAUUGCGCUCGAAACUACGUGGCUGGAGUGUGGCAGAGGAAGGUGGAAUUCCAGGUGUAGCGGUGAAAUUCGUAGAUAUUCGCAAGAACACCAGUGGCGAAGGCGGCUUACUGGUCCGGUUCUGACGCUGAGGCGCGAAAGCGUGGGGAGCAAACAGG
rnacentral:rRNA from 1 species